AAUUACGGACUCAAAUCUAAAUUGCUUUAGCCAUGCCCCUCCAUCGUGUGCAAUUUUUGGAUCAUAUGGUAUACUCGAUUCUUUUCUUGUACAUACGUAUAGUAUUAUAGAAAUAGGUUGAGUGUUGCAGUGAUGAGGCAGAAAUGAAAGCUGUUCAUUUGUAGUAAAACAGAUUUUGCAUCCCGUAGAUGAUAAUAUCGUUGUGAAAUGUGGUUGGUAAACAUGUUUGCAGUAUUGCCAGAGCAAGCUGGUUUAAAUACUUUGAUUUGCCAAUAUUACUUGAAUUUUUUUUAAAAGAGAAUAGAGAUUUUAUUUGAAUAAAAAUUCAAGUAAUAUUGGCAAAUCAAA
rnacentral:misc_RNA from 1 species